GACGUUUGCUGCCCAACAUCUACUACGACCCUCCCUUUUCCUACCUAGCUGUUACACAUUGUAUGUGGUCCAACACCCUGGUCAGGAUAGUGAACACGAGUGAAUGCGAUGACAUGCAUCUUGAUCAAUGCUACCAACAUCUCAUCCCUGCAUAUAAGGACGACUUGAAUAGAAGUCUAUGCUACACAACGACAGACACGCAAAAUGCGCCUACAUUUUCAGGAGUAGUAGGAUUCAACGUAGAUAAUUUCU